CCUAGAAAUAGCAUCCGAACGCGCACCGCCCGACCAGAUUUCCCCCAAGCUGCUAAGAUUUCAUUUCACCUCCGACAGGCUUCGUGGGGACUCGCUGUUAAAAGAUCACUCUCCCGGGAUGCAGGCAGUGGGAGGGGGCCCGGGACUGUAUACAGCUGUCAAAACGUCUCCGACAGGAGGCUCGGGCACAUCUGCACGAGCCUGUCUCAGGCUGCGGGGCACCCAGGGAGCGCCUCCAACCUAUCAGGGUUCUUCCUGCGUGGAGCUCCAAACAGUCUGCUGACAUUCUCUCUCAUCCCAUCAAUCCCCUGCCUGUUGAUACAUAACCAUGGUGUAUGGUCCCUCCUGAGGAACUCUUUCAUCUGACUCCAAUGUGAAGCAAGAUGACUCUGUCACUGUACUUCCUCCAUGAUUGAUGUAUGAAUAUAGAUAGAUGCCAGGUGACUGAUAAAAAUACAGGAAUUCUUGGUAUUAUGAUGAUGCCAUUCUCCACGAGGCCCUACCAGAACUAUGCAGAAGCCAGUGCUAUACUUGUGAACCUUCAUAACUGUAAGCUAAAUAAACCUCUUUUCUUUACA